rnacentral:rRNA from 1 species
UGGGCUUGACAUCCCGCUGACCGUUCUGGAAACAGGAUUUUCCCUUCGGGGACAGCGGUGACAGGUGGUGCAUGGUUGUCGUCAGCUCGUGUCGUGAGAUGUUCGGUUAAGUCCGAUAACGAGCGCAACCCCUAUCUUUAAUUGCUAACAUUCAGUUGAGAACCUUAAAGAUACUGCCGGUGACAAACCGGAGGAAGGUGGGGAUGACGUCAAAUCAUCAUGCCCCUUACGUCCAGGGCUACAGGCGUGCUACAAUGGCUGGUAUAAUAAGACGCAAUACCGUGAGGUGGAGCAAAUCUCCAAAGCCAGUCCCAGUCCGGAUUGGAGUCUGCAACUCGACUCCAUGAAGUUGGAAUCGCUAGUAAUCCCGAAUCAGAAUGUCGGGGUGAAUACGUUCCCGGGUG